rnacentral:tRNA from 1 species
AAAAUCCGUUGACUUUAGAAAUCGUGAGG